AUCUGUUUAACUAUAGCAGUAGAAAGCUUUAAUUGUUCCAUCCGCAUAGAGUUAGUGUAUGUUAUAUGGCGGGGGGUUUGAGCCAUAUCUAGCGGUUAAUAUUUUAUUUGGUGUACUACCUUUGGGGGAGCAAGUUUAUUAAAGGGGAGAGGCCACAGUGCCAGCAUUCGCGGUUAA
rnacentral:rRNA from 1 species